UACGUAGGGUGCGAGCGUUAUUCGGAAUUACUGGGCGUAAAGCGUGCGUAGGCGGUUUUGUAAGCCGGAUGUGAAAUCCCCGGGCUUAACCUGGGAAUGGCAUUCGGGACUGCAAGGCUGGAGUGCGGCAGAGGAGACUGGAAUUCCUGGUGUAGCAGUGAAAUGCGUAGAUAUCAGGAGGAACACCGAUGGCGAAGGCAGGUCUCUGGGCUGACACUGACGCUCAUGCACGAAAGCGUGGGGAGCAAACAGG
rnacentral:rRNA from 1 species